rnacentral:rRNA from 1 species
CCUACGGGAGGCAGCAGUGAGGAAUAUUGGUCAAUGGGAGAGAUCCUGAACCAGCCAAGCCGCGUGAGGGAAGACGGCCCUAUGGGUUGUAAACCUCUUUUGUCGGAGAACAAAACCCGGGACGUGUCCCGGACUGCGUGUAUCCGAAGAAACAGCAUCGGCUAACUCCGUGCCAGCAGCCGCGGUAAUACGGAGGAUGCGAGCGUUAUCCGGAUUUAUUGGGUUUAAAGGGUGCGUAGGCGGUCCGGUAAGUCAGCGGGAAAAUUGCGGGGCUCAACCCCGUCGAGCCGUUGAACCUGGCAGACUUGAGUUGGCGAGAAGUACGCGGAAUGCGCGGUGUAGCGGUGAAAUGCAUAGAUAUCGCGCAGAACUCCGAUUGCGAAGGCAGCGUACCGGCGCCAGACUGACGCUGAGGCACGAAAGCGUGGGGAUCGAACAGGAUUAGAUACCCGAGUAGUC